ACUCCCUCUCAGUCUCUCACGUACUAUACUGCUCUAAGAGAUCAAACCUUAGAUGUUAGAUCCAUAGUUUUGUCUUCUACUCUUCUUCUUCUUCUUCAUCUUCAAUUUGGGGCAAUCAAUCAAUUCAAUUGGAUUGAGGAUUGUUCUGUGUGCCAUCGAUGUGAGAGGAAUGAUGACGGUAGAGUUAUUUGCGGUGGAACUUGCUUACGAAAAUGAUACGAGUCAAACGUAUGAUUAGCCAAGGAGUUAUAGAGCAAAGUUCAUUGACAUAUGCCGUAAUACGUGUCAGACAUCUACUGCUGAUUUUGUUGUUGAUUUUGUUCUUUGGUUUUGUAUAGAUACGUGUUUGAGGGUAAGGCUCACUAUGCCCCUUGACUAGGUGUAUUAUUUUUUUCAAAUAAUAAAAUUCUCUCGCGCCGUCAAAAUUAUAUAUUGUUUUUUUUUUUUUUUAAGAAACCCAAGCCCACCCAAGGUUUCAAUCCUGGAUC